AUUGAACGCUGGCGGCAUGCUUUACACAUGCAAGUCGAACGGUAACAGGCCGCAAGGUGCUGACGAGUGGCGAACGGGUGAGUAAUGCAUCGGAACGUGCCCAGUCGUGGGGGAUAACGCAGCGAAAGCUGCGCUAAUACCGCAUACGAUCUAUGGAUGAAAGCGGGGGACCGUAAGGCCUCGCGCGAUUGGAGCGGCCGAUGUCAGAUUAGGUAGUUGGUGGGGUAAAGGCUCACCAAGCCAACGAUCUGUAGCUGGUCGGAGGGGACGACCAGCCACACUGGGACUGGGACACGGCCCAGACUCCUACGGGAGGCAGCAGUGGGGAAUUUUGGACAAUGGGCGCAAGCCUGAUCCAGCAAUGCCGCGUGCAGGAAGAAGGCCUUCGGGUUGUAAACUGCUUUUGUACGGAACGAAACGGUCUGGGUUAAUACCUCGGGCUAAUGACGGUACCGUAAGAAUAAGCACCGGCUAACUACGUGCCAGCCGCCGCCGUAACAC
rnacentral:rRNA from 1 species